UCCUAUGCAAUCUAAGUAAUUGUGACUUGACCAAUCCUCUAUGCUUUGAGGUGUGUGAGCGUCUGUUUCCUUCAAAUAAACUUUGAUGUCCAAAUUUCCAUGUUGUGUGAAUUUAGGGCCCUUGAAAGUGGUCGUGUUCAGGAAAUUAACUGAAUGAGUGUCUGUAGUUGCUUUUAACUUAAUGGAGGGGUUUAUGAUUAUUUAGUGUCUGUAAAAUGUCUCAAAAUCCUGUUCUGAAUGUGUCCAAAUACCCCCAUAUGUCAUGUAAAUAUCUAUAAUAGUGUUAAUUUCCCCUGCAACCAGUGGGAAAGGAUACGGCCCGCUGUGGUGGGAGACCAGUGGAUGAGGUCUGCCUCGACCUCAAAGAGCUCACUGGGGAUGCGGGUGAGAUACUCACAGUUCUCUCUGAUAUAAUCAUUGAGUAGAUACAAGUUGUGUUGCUCCACCUGUGGGAGGGCUGGGGAGAAGUUUAUUUCUGGAAUGUAAACAAGCAGUCUGAGGGAACCUCUUCUUGGCUACUCUGUAAGGCACCUUGGAGUUGUUUGAUGGUAGUAGAGUGAGUUUUUUGGUUCCUGCUGUUGAUGCCGAAGGACAGGAUGAUGGACUGUGUCUGGGUGGAAGAGGUGGCUUUCUGCAGGAUGGAUUCUGCAUGGUAGAAGGUGGCCCCAGGAAAACUGUCGACCUGCAGGUCCUCUCUGGUGAAGGGAGGAAAUAUGCCAACGUUGGAAUCCCCCAUAAUGACCAUCUUUUUUUGUAGGGCCAGAUGCUCCAGUCCCUCAGUUUCCUGCUGGUGUUGGGGUGGCGAGUGGGCUUGAAAAUUUCAGUACCAGGAGGAGUAGAGGGGGUGACAAAGAUCUCCAUGAGGGUAAGUUGCCUGCGGCUCAUCCUAUGGGGAGAUCUGGCUGCUGCAGGAGGAGAGAGGAGAAAGAGAGGCCCCAUUUUGGUCAGGGAGAGGGGGCCUGGAGAGGCAAGAUGGAGUUCAGCCGCAGCAGCAGGAGGAGGAGAAGAAGGAGAAUCGGAGGAAGAGGAGACAGCCCCCUGCCGGAUGAUUGUUUGAUCCUCUUCAUCAGCAGGGCGCCAGGCUCCACUGUGGAUGUCUCAUCCUCCGCAAAUCGGGUGUUUGGGAGCAGAUCUUCCUCCUCAGACUGGCGAGUGCUGAAUUUGGACCUGGAGCCAGUCCUGGGUUCUCUCUGUGAUUUAGGAGAUGGUGGCGUGUUUGCGACCAUGGGAGGAGUGGGAGACACUGGGGUAGAGUGUGAGAGCAGAUGAGGAUGGGCGUUGUCAUCGUCGUCAUCAUCAACAUCCUCUCCCUCAUCCUUAACAUAAUGAUAACGUUCAUCAUCAACAUCAUUGUUGUACUCCUCUUCCUCAGCCAUGCUCUCCUCUCCUUCUGAUUGUUGGGAGGGGAGGGGGGACCAAUCCCCGCCCCUCAGGUGAGUCAUAGUGCCCAUGGAGGCAGUGGUGACAGUUCGAGGUGGGGCAAAAGAUGUGAUGCAAGCUGCAGCAGGUGCAUGUGUUUGGGCUGCAGUGCUGCGUGUGGCUGAAGGAGCCUGUGAUGUUGUGUGGGAGAGGGGGGGAUGCUGAGGGGAUUACCUGAGGUGAUGCUGAUGGGGAGGAGUCAUCUGAUUGGGCUCGGGAGGGGCUCCCAGGUGGGUCCAGUACACCUCGGGCAUUCAGGUUGUCAGACAAAAAGGUCUCAGCCUCCUGCAGGGUCUUGGGGAGGAGGCGCCGACCCAGAUUGCGACGGGCCCAGCCUGACGCCACUUCAAAGGGACCCCUCCAGUCCUGAUGUUGGGCAUCAGCCAUCUCAAGGAGAUGCUGCUGUAUCACAUCCUCAUAAUGCUGCUUCAUUAUGGUAAUAUUAUUGUGUUCCCAAUUUUUAGCAUUACCUUGGAUUAGGAGGAGCGUUGUGUGUGUGGGAGAAGCUGGUUUUAUAACGGUAGCAAGAGUCUCCGUCAUCUUGCUUACCUGGGAUGGUGCCCGGGCUCCGGACCAGUUCCGGAGGUGGUGGAAUGCCACAAUGAUUUUGUGUAGGGGCUCGGACCUUUUCCCUGAAGCGAGGAUCAUCUGACUGGAUCCUCAGCGGCUGCUGAUUUCUGCUUUGUGACUGGCGGUCCGGUCUUCUGCGGUACUGUGGUCCGGCCCGGUCUCUUCUCCAUGGGAGAAUUGCGCCGCUGGCGUCUGCCGUAUGUUGCGCGACGUCGCGGUCGGCGGAACGGUGAACGGUCCAGUUGUGGAGGUUCAUAGCGGUGACGUGGUGCAGAAUUGU
ensembl:lncRNA